UCCGGUUUGUCACCGGCAGUCUCCCUAGAGUUCCCGGCCGAACCGCUGGCAACUAAGAGCAUGGGUUGCGCUCGUUGCGGCACUUAAGCCAACACCUCACGGCACGAGCUGACGACAGCCAUGCAGCACCUGUGCAGGGCCCCGAAGGACACGGGCUUUCACCCGCUUUACCCUGCAUGUCAAGCCCAGGUAAGGUUCUUCGCGUUGCAUCGAAUUAAGCCACAUGCUCCGCCGCUUGUGCGGGUCCCCGUCAAUUCCUUUGAGUUUUAGUCUUGCGACCGUACUCCCCAGGCGGAGUGCUUAAUGCGUUAGCUGCGGCACAGAAAGGGUUGAAGACCUCCCCACACCUAGCCCUCAACGUUUACGGCUGGGACUAC
rnacentral:misc_RNA from 1 species